ACUCCUACGGGAGGCAGCAGUGGGGAAUAUUGCACAAUGGGCGCAAGCCUGAUGCAGCAACGCCGCGUGAGCGAUGAAGGCCUUCGGGUCGUAAAGCUCUGUCCUCAAGGAAGAAUAAAUGACGGUACUUGAGGAGGAAGCCCGGCUAACUACGUGCCAGCAGCCGCGGUAAUACGUAGGGGGCAAGCGUUAUCCGGAAUCACUGGGGCGUAAAGGGGUGCGUAGGCGGUUUUCAAGUCAGAAGUGAAAGGCUAUGGCUCAACCAUAGUAAGCUUUUGAAACUGUUAAACUUGAGUGCAGGAGAGGAAAGUGGAAUUCCUAGUGUAGAGGUGAAAUUCGUAGAUAUUAGGAGGAACACCAGUGGCGAAGGCGACUUUCUGACGUGUAACUGACGCUGAGGCGACGAAAGACGUGGGAGGCGGAACAGGA
rnacentral:rRNA from 1 species